rnacentral:tRNA from 1 species
GAGGGUGUAGCUCAGUGGUAGAGCGCGUGGUUAGUGCGCACAAGGUCUGGGGUUCAAUCCCCAGUACCUCCA